rfam:Picea glauca, whole genome shotgun sequence.
UCGAUUGGGAUAAUAAAUAUGUUAAACAAUAAUAUAGGUGUCCUAAAAUGAGGUCAAAGAGAACAAAAAUCUAGCGUGGAACAAAAAGGAUAAAAGCUCAUUUAAUUUUGAUUUUCAAUAUGAAUACAAAUAGUAGUGAAUUCUUCACCUCUCGAUCCUUUAAAUUUUUAGUUUGGAUACCAUAAAAUAAGUG